GAAGAGGUAAACUAUGGCAUAAAAAGGUAGCCACAAUAGGGCAUAAAUUAAGUCAGAAUUGCUUCAAAGAGGCGUAUAUGUAUGUAUGACAAUAACAUGUUACCAUUUAGCAGUGCUCGAAUUAAAUGUAAGGACAACAAUAGCCAAAUGUAUAAAAAUCCUUUAAAUCAUAAAGGGUCCAUUAGAACUUGAUUUGGCCACAGGUUUGAUUACAAAAAUAUACCUAUUGAUGAAAAUAAAAAAAAAUACUCACAAGAGCACGUUAGAGGUGCUACCUGAUGUACUUAAUAAAGC
rnacentral:lncRNA from 1 species